rnacentral:rRNA from 1 species
CGCAUCUGUGCAUGCAGCAUAUCAAUAAGCGGAGGAAAAGAAACUAACAAGGAUUCCCUUCAGUAACGGCGAGUGAAGCGGGAAGAGCUCAAAUUUGAAAUCUUGCAAGGUUUACCUUGACGAAUUGUAGUUUAAAGAAGUGUUUUCUGCUGAAGAUUUGGUAAUAAGUUCUUUGGAAUAGGACAUCAUAGAGGGUGAGAAUCCCGUCUAUGAUUGCGAUUUGUAGCUUUGUGAUACACUUUCAAAGAGUCGGGUUGUUUGGGAAUGCAAGCCCAAAACGGGAGGUAAAUUUCUUCUAAGGCUAAAUAUUGGCGAGAGACCGAUAGCGAACAAGUACCGUGAGGGAAAGAUGAAAAGAACUUUGAAAAGAGAGUUAAACAGUACGUGAAAUUGUCAAAAGGGAAGCGUUUGACACCAGUGUUGUUUUCUCGAAAAUCAAUUAAAAAUGGCUCGAUUUUGUAUUGCUGAGACCUUAAAAGCUCACUGUACAUUUUUCGUGUCUUUUUUAAUGCACUUUUCGUUUAACAAGUCAACAUCAGUUUCUUUUGUUGUAAAAGGGUCAUUGGAAGGUGGCUUUCUUUUCGGAGAAAGUGUUUAUAGCCUUUGGCCUCUGCAAUCGAAGAGACUGAGGUCUGCAGCGUAGACUCUUCGGGGUUAGAUACAUUUGUGCUAAGUUAUAGCUUUUUAUAGACAACUUGUUGACUAUAAUUAGUCUUGUAGCUUACUCGCUUAUGCUAUUUUACCUACGCUUAGGAUGUUGACGAUCAGCUGAGCGCG